GUGUCAGCCGCCGCGGUAAUACGUAGGUGGCAAGCGUUGUCCGGAUUUACUGGGCGUAAAGGGUGCGUAGGCGGUUACUUAAGUCAGAUGUGAAAUCCCAGGGCUUAACUGUGGGGCGUCAUUGGAAACUGGGUGACUUGAGUGCAGAAGAGGAAAGCAGAAUUCCUAGUGUAGCGGUGAAAUGCGUAGAGAUUAGGAGGAAUACCAGUGGGGAAGGCGGCUUUCUGGACUGCAACUGACGCUGAGGCAUGAAAGCGUGGGGAGCAAACAGGAUUAGAUACCCUGGUAGUCCAUGCCGUAAACGAUGAAUGCUAAGUUUAAGAGGGAUCGAGUCCCUCUGUGCUGCAGUUAACGCAAUAAGCAUUCCGCCUGGGGAGUACGGCCGCAAGAUUAAAACUUAAAGGAAUUGACGG
rnacentral:rRNA from 1 species